rnacentral:rRNA from 11 species
UUUGAAAGUGCACACACACAUCCUAAAGGCACCAGAUCCUGUCUGAUCUUGGAAGCUAAAUAGGGGCCGUUCUCUUUAGUGCUUGAAUGGGAACCCAUCAACGUAUCCCAGAUGCUGUCUGAA